rnacentral:rRNA from 1 species
AUUGAACGCUAGCGGGAUGCCUUACACAUGCAAGUCGACCGGAGUGGCGCACGGGUGAGUAAUGUAUCGGAACGUGCCCCGUAGCGGGGGAGAACUACGCGAAAGCGUAGCUAAUACCGCAUACUAUUGGAGCGGCCGAUAUCGGAUUGGCGAGUUGGUGGGGUAACGGCUACACAAGGCGACGAUCCGUAGCUGGUUUGAGAGGCGGACCAGCCACCCUGGGACUGAGACACGGCCCAGACUCCUACGGGAGGCAGCAGUGGGGAAUUUUGGACAAUGGGGGAAACCCUGAUCCAGCCAUCCCGCGUGUGCGAUGAAGGCCUUCGGGUUGUAAAGCACUUUUGGCAGGAAAGCGGUACCUGCAGAAUAAGCACCGGCUAACUACGUGCCAGCAGCCGCGGUAAUAC